rnacentral:rRNA from 1 species
GAUGAACGCUGGCGGCGUGCUUAACACAUGCAAGUCGAACGGGAAACCUUUUAAUGAAGCUUCGGCAGAUUUAGCUGGUUUCUAGUGGCGGCCGGGUGAGUAACGCGUGGGUAACCUGCCUUAUACAGGGGGAUAACAGUCAGAAAUGACUGCUAAUACCGCAUAAGCGCACAGGACCGCAAGGUCCGGUGUGAAAAACUCCGGUGGAAUAAGAUGGACCCGCGUUGGAUUUGCUUGUUGGUGGGGUAACGGCUCACCAAGGCGACGAUCCAUAGCCGGCCUGAGAGGGUGAACGGCCACAUUGGGACUGAGACACGGCCCAGACUCCUACGGGAGGCAGCAGUGGGGAAUAUUGCACAAUGGGGGAAACCCUGAUGCAGCGACGCCGCGUGAAGGAAGAAGUAUCUCGGUAUGUAAACUUCUAUCAGCAGGGAAGAUAGUGACGGUACCUGACUAAGAAGCCCCGGCUAACUACGUG